rfam:Flavobacteria bacterium MS024-3C ctg87, whole genome shotgun sequence.
CAAGCAGGCUGCCUUAUCGCUGGUGGUUUAUCCAUCAGAGGAAAGUCCGGACACCCUAUUGCAGCAUAGCGGGUAACGCCCGUCCGUUGAGAAACGAGGACAAGUGCAACAGAAAGCAGGUACAGGUAAUGCUGUAGUGAAACCAGGUAAACUCUAUGCGGUGCAACGCCAUGUAAACUGACGUUUGAGGGCGGCAAGUUCGAGUCAGAGGGUAGGCGGUUCGAGCCUUGGAGUAAUCCAAGGCCUAGAUAAAUGAUAAGGGCGUUUUUAACGUUACAGAAUCCGGCUUAUGGCCUGCUUUUUUU